GGGGCUGUGCCGGUCCCUGGAGAACCUGCAGAGGCACUGGGUCAGCAGUCCCCUGCGGGCCCACACUCAC
rnacentral:miRNA from 1 species